UGGCAGUGUUGCAUUUUUUUCAGGAUGCAGCAGAUUUUCUAGCUUACAGAUUUCAAGACAAAAUGCCUUCCUUCUGGAAUGAAGGUGCCAUAUGUCUUGAAAUGCAUAAUUGAUCACUGCUCAAAAUAGAAGCUUCAUAGAAAGUCACCUAGAAGUCCAAUGCAUGUGUGCAGGAGACUUAAUAGACCUUGAUGCAUUUUUUGUUUCCUGAGAGUGAUGAUGAUAUAGGGAGAGGUUUUUAUGGCUCCUCUUAGAGGUUCUGAUGCUUGUGCUUUCUCAUUAUUCCAGGAGAUCUUGGGAGUUGCAUUAGCAGGUGCAUCAAUCAUGCUUGCUGAUCCCUGCUGGGCUUGGCUGGAUGAAAAACACCCCAGACAAGCCUGGCAUUCACCAUAUAGCCCAACAAGGGCCACAGCUGUAUCUGUGAGUGUAAAACAGUUCAGUUGAUCAAAUCUGGUGAGUUGAAUCCUGCCCUUGGUGCCCCUAUUUCCCCACCUCUGGUGGGAUGCCUGCACAAGCAUUCUUCCCCAGCUCCCACACAGAGUGAGGUAGAUUCCUACUGACGUGGGAGGGAUGUUGGGGUUCAUCUGGCUGUGUGCCCUGCUUCCUGGUAAUAAACAACACUGUAGACCACCCAGUAUUAUGGAUGCUUUUUUGUUCUGGUCCUUAUGAAUUAUGGCAAAUUCUUGAUAAGAGCAAUGCUGAGAAGUCGCUUUGGAAAAAAGGGAGCAGAGCAGGAAAGAAAUCAAGGAGACUACCCAGAAUGAUCCAGGCUUUUCAAUUCACCUUGAUAGGUUUAAAAAGCAGGCAGUGGAGGUGCUUCUGCAGCCCCUUUGGGCAACUAAGUCCUUUGUCUAUUUUAGUAACCUUCAAGGAGUUGACAGCUCUGAUUUCUGGAGGAUUUCUAGUUUUCUCACUGCUAGCAAGCCCUGCUCAGCAAGAACCUCCUCACACACCCAGUUCUGCUCCUGCUUGCAGAGCUGCUAAUCAAGGAUAGCACAUGGGAAGGCAGCCACAUGGGAGGGGGUGCUCUGCGAGGGAGUCAGACCCCGUUUUGUUUGCUCAAUUUACAUUUCUCUGUUAUUAAACCAUGUUCUGGGCUUCAGCAGGGUUUGUAAGCACUGCAUCUCUACUUAGUGGACAAGGUAGGAGAAUUAUAGCACUACAGAAUCUGGGACACCAGGAUAGCCCUGAGGAUUUGAUGUGAUGCUGUGUACUGCAGCCAUCUGCUGCCAAUCUACUAAGGGCCUCUCCCCUCUGGGUUGCACCAGCAGCCCCAGGUAGCAUGGAUGGAUGGAUGGUCAUAAGCAUUUCAUCACACUGGGAAAGCCAGUUUUGGGGCAGGCAGACUCAAAGGGGGAAAAAAAAUCCUGCUGCCACUCAGGAUCGCAGAGAAGCUGUGGAUCAGAUCAGUGCUGAGAAAAUUGCUGGUAAGUCAGGAUGCUGAACCAGGCAGGAGCAAAGCCCCCCACUGAUAAAUGAGCCUUCACAGCCCCAUGAACAAGCACCAAGCAGGAAGUCCCAGGGGUGUAAUGAGGCUGGCUGCUUGCAACUCUGGGGUUGCCUCCCUUGGCUUUUGCUCUUUACUGUGGAGGUGGGAGUUAUGCCAUGCUGUAAACCCCUGGAUUUAGCAGGUUGUCUUUAACCCCUUGUCCUCACCACCCGUCGCUGUGGCCCAGCCCAUACAGAGCACACACUCCAGGCUGUGCCUGUUGUUUGGCACAUCUCUGUGAGUGCUCAGAGCGGUUGCUAAGACAGCAUAAGUCUGUCCCCUUUCUCCAUGCCUUCAGGUGUCUGUCUGAUCCAGAGGUAUAGGUGUACUGUGUCCACGUAGCCCAAUCCCAGAGCAGUAUCCAUGUGGGAGAGCAGAGGCAAUGCCACGGGUCAGGAGUUAACAGUCUGUGUGCACAGACAUCAGUGUGAGCGGUACAGGGGAGUGGAGUGUGGGCUACAGCUUAGUUCUCCCCCUUCCCAAACUGUGAUGCAGAGUCUGGUGGGAAAGAGGGACUGUCCACUGCGACCUUCAAGGAGGCAGCAUGGAGGUGAACAUCUCUGACAGGAGAUGCAUCCUGACCUCUGUGUGAGGGAUGCUCAGCAUGUGCAAGGGCAGCACAGAGAUGUUACAGGAACCAGGUCACUGCAGGGCUCUGGUGACAGGAGGUGUGUGAGUUCUGGUCAAAGGGACAGAGACACUGCGUUCACUGGCUGGUGAAAAAGAACCAGGUAGGUGAAAAAUGAGAGCGUGUCUGGAACAUCUACCUCCAUCCUUCCAGCAUGCAUGGCAGGAGACUUGCAGGUGUGGUGGUGCCAGCCAGAAGGACUCAUUUGAACACAGAGAUGUCUGGAUUGAUGGCUUUAUUUCAGCUUAUUUUAGCAAGUAAUAGGCAAGGGGGGUGAUGUUUAUCACUGAAACUGGAGCUGGCUGUACUUUAGAUCACAGCUCUAAUCGGUUAGACUGACUUGGACAGUAAAUCACUUGAGCAGUACUAAUAACACAGAGUGACAGGUGUACUAACCCUCUAUUGCAGCAAUAACCUGGUCCUGCUGGUUCUUUCACUCAGGUUAGUGCUUCUGCUCUGGUUUGUUUAUUAAAGCUCCUUCACAAAAGUCACCUGGGUGGCUGCUCUGACUCAGCCAUUGAAAUGGCUGUUCUCCUGCCAUUCCCCAACCUGGCUUCGGCUCUUUUUAUAGCCUGCUAUAAAAUUGUUUAUUUUUGCACCUGUUUAGAAAGGCUUUUUGGCCACAGGGGUCUCAUGAUGUUGUUUUCAUGGCUUCUGGAGCAGGGCUGCUCUGUUGUUGCUAGAAAUAAUUGCUGUUAAUUAAUUCUUUGCUGAUUUUUCUUUGGCAAAGCAUACUGAAAUAAACAGAGAAGUGAGCAGCAUGCUCUGUAUCUCGAUGUUGUGGGAGCUUUUAGGAGGCAUGCAGUGACAUCCAAACAAUCCCAUCAGCAGCCAGAGGAAGGGUAGGAUGCAGUCCUCAAGUUUCUGUGGACAAAGUUAAUUGGGGGGAGGCUGAAUUACCAUCUCCAGCUGUUUGGCAGCUUCCUUCAGGCCACCAUUUUUAAUCUCUUUCUAGAGAAAAACCACAGCCUUGUUUCCAUCUAAUGCUUUAUUCAAAUCACAGUUGAGCAAUGUUACAGAAAAUGAUGUGGUCUCAGCUCUCUGAGCUGGACCAGCAGCUGAAGGCAGCAGUCUGUGAUACGAGACUGACUGCUGGGGCCAAUAAUUGCACCAUUUUAUCUUCUGUGCCCUUUUUUAAAAUGGUUUGUUCUUUUUUUUUUCUGAGGGACUUUCAGACCAGAAGUGAAGUGCUGGGCUUCAGCCCCUCUGACCUGUGGCCAUGCCUGUAUCAUCUCCAUCAUUCCCUUGGCACUGGGCUCCUGGCAGGAUCAGCCACUGCUUCCCGGGAACCCAGAGCUGGCAGCAGCUGGCUGGGCCACUUCUGUCCCCACCCUGGAAUGGGACAUCAUGCAGCCCAGUCUCUUGCUUGAAUGUCUCCAAGCUGUUCCUGGAAGGAUGAGCCAUUUGAGCCAGGAAGAGAUUAAAUUAUUGGAAUUGAGCAAAAGCAAUUUCCAUGGAAACCAAAACUGCAACGGAAAUGAGCUGCUGUAGCAUAGGUGCAGCUGGCCAGUGCUGUAGCUUGUUCACACAAACCUCCAGCUGCAAAAGCUGCCUCCCCCAUGGUGCUGAGGAAGCCUAAAGGAUCCAGCCUGGUGUAUCUGCUACUCCAGAGUUUUGCUUGAAUGCAGUUGCAGUGGCAUGAAUUAUUGAUAUCUCUGUUCAGGUUUGCUGUUCAUGCAGGAAUCUGUAAUGCUUCCCCACCUUACGCUGUGAACGCGCUCCCGGGUCACAUAAAGGGUUCUGUUUAACAGCC